rnacentral:rRNA from 1 species
AAACCAACUGGGAUUACCUUAGUAACGGCGAGUGAAGCGGUAAAAGCUCAAAUUUGAAAUCUGGUACUUUCAGUGCCCGAGUUGUAAUUUGUAGAAUUUGUCUUUGAUUAGGUCCUUGUCUAUGUUCCUUGGAACAGGACGUCAUAGAGGGUGAGAAUCCCGUUUGGCGAGGAUACCUUUUCUCUGUAAGACUUUUUCGAAGAGUCGAGUUGUUUGGGAAUGCAGCUCAAAGUGGGUGGUAAAUUCCAUCUAAAGCUAAAUAUUGGCGAGAGACCGAUAGCGAACAAGUACAGUGAUGGAAAGAUGAAAAGAACUUUGAAAAGAGAGUGAAAAAGUACGUGAAAUUGUUGAAAGGGAAGGGCAUUUGAUCAGACAUGGUGUUUUUGCAUGCACUCGCCUCUCGUGGGCUUGGGCCUCUCAAAAAUUUCACUGGGCCAACAUCAAUUCUGGCAGCAGGAUAAAUCAUUAAGAAUGUAGCUACUUCGGUAUGUUAUAGCUUUUUGGAAUACUGUUAGCCGGGUAUU